rnacentral:rRNA from 1 species
UGCAGUAUUUUGACUGUGCAAAGGUAGCAUAAUGGUUUGCCUUUUUAUAUUAGGAGCGCGGGGAUAUAGAAAGGUUUGACAAAACUUUGGUUUUUCCUUGUAAAUGCUAAAAGUAAAACUUUUUGUUAAAAUGCAAAAAUUUUAGUAAGGGGACGAUAAGACCCUAUAAACUUUUACACAUUAUAUUUUUAAGAAAUAUAUGAUAUAAGUGUUUAGUUGGGGCGAACGGUAAAUAAAAAUAAUUAAUGUUUAAACUAUUAUAAAAGGAGACCAAAAGCCUUAUGAGGCAAAAGAAAAAAGUACUUUAGGGAUAACAGCGUUAUACCUUCGGAGAGACCGUAUCUAUGAGGGUGUGUUGCGACCCUCGAUGUUGAAUUAAAAAAC